UACAGAGGGUGCGAGCGUUGUCCGGAAUCAUUGGGCGUAAAGGGUGCGUAGGCGGCGCGGUAAGUCGGGUGUGAAAUCUCGGAGCUUAACUCCGAAACUGCAUUCGAUACUGCCGUGCUUGAGGACUGGAGAGGAGACUGGAAUUUACGGUGUAGCGGUGAAAUGCGUAGAUAUCGUAAGGAAGACCAGUGGCGAAGGCGGGUCUCUGGACAGUUCCUGACGCUGAGGCACGAAGGCCAGGGGAGCAAACGGG
rnacentral:rRNA from 1 species